GAGGGAUCAGCUUGUCCAUUCCCACAUGUUAGACUUUGAGAUGUGUGAUCUACUUGUCAGACGGUUAACUCAGCUAGACAAACAUGAUGUACAGCUGCAAAAUGCAUUGGCGUCAUAUGCUGGAAAGUGAUUUCUCGGUCUCUGUUCUUGCAGCAGCUGAUGUCACGUCUGCGUUGUCUAUCCGAGAACAAUUCAUUGGUCAGAGUAUUCAGUACAACAUGUCAUCCACUCGAAUGUUCGCAGUUCCUUCAUUUGUUAACGAAUAUUGAUCAGCCUAUAUGUUCGACAUGAAGGAGGAAAUUAUCCAUGUGCUCGACCCAUUCUUGCAAUAGGAUUUUAC